GAGUUUGAUCGUGGCUCAGGAUGAACGCUAGCUACAGGCUUAACACAUGCAAGUCGAACGAAGCGAUUUUUAUGAAGUUUUCGGAUGGAAUAGAGAUUGACUGAGUGGCGGACGGGUGAGUAACGCGUGGGUAACCUGCCUCACACUGGGGGACAACAGUUAGAAAUGACUGCUAAUACCGCAUAAGCGCACGGUACCACAUGGUACAGUGUGAAAAACUCCGGUGGUGUGAGAUGGACCCCGCGUCUGAUUAGAUAGUUGGUGGGUAACGG
rnacentral:rRNA from 1 species